GCCCGGCUGGCACAAUUGGUCAGCGCGUAAGACUCUUAAUCUUAAGGUUGUGGGUUCAAAUCCCACGUCGGGCU